CAGCAGUCGCCGCGGUAAUACGGAGGGUGCAAGCGUUAAUCGGAAUUACUGGGCGUAAAGCGCACGCAGGCGGUCUGACAAGUCAGAUGUGAAAUCCCCGGGCUUAACCUGGGAACUGCAUUUGAAACUGUCAGGCUGGAGUCUUGUAGAGGGGGGUGGAAUUCCAGGUGUAGCGGUGAAAUGCGUAGAGAUCUGGAGGAAUACCGGUGGCGAAGGCGGCCCCCUGGACAAAGACUGACGCUCAGGUGCGAAAGCGUGGGGGGCAAACAGGAUUAGAUACCCGGGUAGUCCCUGUCUCUUAUAC
rnacentral:rRNA from 1 species